rnacentral:rRNA from 1 species
AGAGUUUGAUCAUGGCUCAGAUUGAACGCUGGCGGCAUGCCUAAUACAUGCAAGUCGAACGGUAACAGGCUUUUCGGAGUGCUGACGAGUGGCGGACGGGUGAGUAACGCGUGGGAAUCUGCCCUGUAGCGGGGGACAACCUUAGGAAACUGAGGCUAAUACCGCAUACCUUCUACGGAAGAAAGUAGGCCACUGAAUAUGCUUACACUACAGGAUGAGCCCGCGUUGGAUUAGCUAGUUGGUAAGGUAAUGGCUUACCAAGGCUACGAUCCAUAACUGGUCUGAGAGGACGACCAGUCACACCGGGACUGAGACACGGCCCGGACUCCUACGGGAGGCAGCAGUAGGGAAUAUUGGGCAAUGGGCGCAAGCCUGACCCAGCAAUGCCGCGUGUGUGAAGAAGGCCUUAGGGUUGUAAAGCACUUUCAGGAGGGAAGAAAAGGUUAGGAAUAAUACGCCUAACUCAUGACGUUACCUCCAAAAGAAGCACCGGCUAACUCUGUGCCAGCAGCCGCGGUAAUACAGAGGGUGCGAGCGUUAAUCGGAAUUACUGGGCGUAAAGGGUGCGUAGGCGGUUAGAUAAGUUAGAUGUGAAAUCCCUGGGCUCAACCUGGGAACUGCCUCUAAAACUAUCUAACUCGAGUGCAGUAGAGGAAAGUGGAAUUUCCGGUGUAGCGGUGAAAUGCGUAGAUAUCGGAAGGAACAUCAGUGGCGAAGGCGACUUUCUGGACUGACACUGACGC